rnacentral:rRNA from 1 species
UGAGGAAUAUUGGUCAAUGGACGAAAGUCUGAACCAGCCAUGCCGCGUGAAGGAAUAAGGCCCUAUGGGUCGUAAACUUCUUUUGUAUGUGAGCAAUAAGGUCCACGUGUGGACCGAUGAGAGUAGCAUACGAAUAAGCAUCGGCUAACUCCGUGCCAGCAGCCGCGGUAAUACGGAAGGUCCGGGCGUUAUCCGGAUUUAUUGGGUUUAAAGGGAGCGUAGGCCGGAGAUUAAGCGUGUUGUGAAAUGUAGUGGCUCAACCUCUGCACUGCAGCGCGAACUGGUCUUCUUGAGUACGCACAACGUGGGCGGAAUUCGUGGUGUAGCGGUGAAAUGCUUAGAUAUCACGAAGAACUCCGAUUGCGAAGGCAGCUCACGGGAGCGCAACUGACGCUGAAGCUCGAAAGUGCGGGUAUCGAACAGGAUUAGAUACCCUGGUAGU